GGGCGCAUGGUUUAGUGGUAUAAUACUUCUUUAGCAACAUCACGGCUCUCCCCUGAUGGCGAAUAGAAGUGGUCCUGGGUUCGAUUCCCAGUGCGUCCA